AUGGUCAGGAAGUUUCUCCUUCUUAUGAUGCUUGCUCAUUGCCCAGUGUUUAAAGGGUCCCUCUUCCAACCUGUGCUGACUCAGCCACUCUCUGCAUCUGCCUCCCUGGAACAAACCGCCAAACUCACAUGCACCCUGAGCAGUGGCUACAGUAAUUACAAGAUGGACUGGUACCAGCAAAGCCCAGGGAAGAGCCACAGGUUUGUGAUGCGAGUGGGCACUAGUGGCAUUGUGGGAUCCAAGGGGAAUGGGAUUCCUGAUCGCUUCUCAGGCUCAGGCUCUGGCCUGGAUUGGUGCCUGAACAUCCAGAACAUCCAGGAAGAAGAUGAAAUGUCUACCACUGUAGGUACCCCAUGGUAG